ensembl:lncRNA
UGGGUGCCAAGGGUGAGUGUUCCGAAGCCAGCAGGUGCUGGACGAUAUGAGUGCCUGUGCACCUUUGCGCUCCGGAAGGCCCAGUGUAGGCUGAAGGUCCCUUCAGGGGCGCAAGCACCUGGAGUCCCAACAGGAGUGUGUGUGUUUGACUCUGGGUUACUGUGACAGGCGAGGGACAGAUUGAAUGGCUUUGGAUGGGUGUGGUGGUGUUCUGGAGCUGGUUCCUACAGUCAGAUGCUCAGAAAAAUUGAAACGUGUUACCACAACCGUUGAUCUGGAGCGCCUCAUCCUGCACUGGCUUGAAGCAAGGCUUCGGUUCCUGGCCAGAGAGCAAGGUCCAGUCCAGGAGAAGAAGUCCCCCAAAGUGACUUUUGGUGUUGGAACUUUAUCUUGGAGUCCUACUAUGCUUUCUUAGUUGGGAAGAAGCAGUGUGUCACCUUAAAUCUGAAGAUUACAGUGAAAUCUAUGACCUUCGUGAGGACUCUACUAGCGCUUGCAGUUUUAUGGCCCCAAGUUAUGUGGGAUCUUAGCUCCCCAACCAGGAAUUAAAC